rnacentral:rRNA from 1 species
CAAGCUGUAAAUUAUGUUCGCUAGGUGUCUUUGCUUUAUUGCAGGGGUGCCGCAACCUAACGGGUUAAGCGAACCGCCUGGGUAGUAUACUCGCAAGAGUGAAACUCAAAGGGAUAGGCGGGGGAACACACAAGCAGUGGAUAAUCUCGAUUAAUUGGAUACGAAGCCAGAAAUCUUACCUAGACUUGACAUGUAUUGUGUCUACGAUGAAAGUCGUAUAGCUAUAGCAAUAUAGCGCUUUACACAGGUGG